UUAUAUUUAUCAUCCAGUUGAAAUUUUUCAUUUAAGUGCAAUGGGGUUCUGUGGUUGUUCUCUCUUCGGUUCUACUGUUUCAGCAUCUGUUAUUGGCAUUAUUAUUUCCAUUUAUGGAAUUAUAUGGAAAUCAAUUUUUUUCCAGCUGUUAAAUAUAGCUUUAUCAAAUACAAAGAUCUUUAAACAAACUGAUAAUACAAUUUAUGCUAAUAUCAUUAUAAGUUUACUUCGUCUCUAUUACAAUAAAACUGUGAAAGGUAUUGUUAUAACAUCUCUCAUUAUUUACGUGUUAUGGUUAGUGGCUUCUAUCGCUAUAAGUAUUGCAAAUCAGAAACGAAUCGUCUCUAUAUUGAGAUUCUGGGUAUGGAUCACAAUAACGGUCAUACUUAGUGAUGUUGCAUUCUCAGUCUACUUUUUAUAUCAGGCGAUAAAAGACAUAAAAAUUAACGAAUUAAAGCUAGAAAACAUCUGGUUAAACCAUAUAUUUACGGGUAAUUUAAUAAUGGCUGCUUUAUUUGAAAAAGGGAUUAUCGUAUUGGCCAUCUUGAUAUCUUUAACUGUUUACGUGUGCCAGAGAGCAAACGAAAUUUUAAGAGAAAAAACUCAAGAAGCUAAUCAAGCAAAUUUAUCAAAUUAUCCACUAACUCCACAAAUAAAUCAAGUUGGAAAUCCAGAUCCAAGAAUGCCACCAAGCUAUGGAAUUAAUAUGGAACCCUCGCCUGGAUAUCCGAGAAAAAUACAGGUGCCUCCAUCAUUUCAAAUGUUACCAGUUGAUCCAAAUAGAAAAUUUAGUUACACUUCUCCACAAUACGAGAGUGAAAGAACAAUGCCUCAAAACUAUGCACACGACAAGAAUAACGCUCCGCAAUACGCACACGAAAGACUUACUCCUCCGCAAUACACACACGAAAGACUUACUCUUCCACAAUACGCACACGGAAGAACCAGUCCAUCACAGUACAGGAAUGAGAAAGCCACUUCACAGCCUUAUUAUCACGGAUAUCCUCAAAAAGACGAAAGCUUUCAUCGCUAUCAAACAUAUGGAGAGAGAUUACCCGAACCUGAAGUUGACUACGACAUCGAUAGAUAUAACGGUCCGCAACAACGAGGUUAUAAACGUUAUUAAAACUUAAGAUGGAAUCGUUCAUUUGCACCUUCGUGCAAAAUAAAUUCAAAAAAGUCAAACCUGUAACAACGGUCACCUCCUAA